rnacentral:tRNA from 1 species
AAUUAAUUGGCAGAAAAAUGCAUUAGAAUUAGAAUCUAAUAAAACUUUAAUUA